rnacentral:rRNA from 1 species
UACGGAGGGUGCAAGCGUUGUCCGGAAUCACUGGGCGUAAAGGGUGCGUAGGCGGUUUGUUACGUCUGUUGUGAAAUCCCCGGGCUCAACCUGGGAAUGGCAAUGGAUACUGGCAAGCUAGAGUGUGUCAGAGGAUGGUGGAAUUUCCGGUGGAGCGGUGAAUUGCGUAGAGAUCGGAAGGAACAUCAGUGGCGAAGGCGGCCAUCUGGGACAACACUGACGCUGAAGCACGAAAGCGUGGGGAGCAAACAGG